rnacentral:sRNA from 1 species
UAGAUAGAAACUGGUCUUGUGUAUUGGUUUGUCUAGUUUAUAUUAUUCGUUUUCUUAGAUAUAUAUAUUUAAUAUUAGUUUCGUCCCAAGCGUCACUCGAACCAAAAGGAUGGUGACUUCACGAGCCAUAUAGUUAUGUUUAUGAUUCUUGUCUGUACCGAUGCUUAU